GCUUAUGUAGUAUAUUAGUACAUGAUCUUUUCGCGAUCAAAGAGGAGAUUACUCUUAUAAGUU
rnacentral:tRNA from 1 species